rnacentral:lncRNA from 1 species
CCAUGGACGACGAUGCAUGAUGAUGGCGUACUCCGUGUAGAUUAGCCCGGCUCAAUCAGUGCAUGGCUAGCUAGAUAGACGCUCGAUCGCUAGCCAGCAGCACGUAGCAGUACUCCCGAUCCCGAGUUCCGAUGCCGUGUAAUUAUAUGCUCGAUUAUUACAUAAGGAGUGGGUGAGUGAAUGAAUAAAAUCCUUCCAUUUCUCUUCUCCGGAUCUCGUUUUUCAUCUUCUUCUCGGAUGCUCUGAUAGCGAUAGCGAAGGUUUCCUUGGAUCGUCCGUCGCCGUUGCAAGGAACAAAGCCCGGCUGCUGGCCCCUGUCCUUGUGCUCCUGGUAGCCAAGCAGGCUGUGUUUACGGCCGCAUACAUACAACCCCGAAAAGCUGAAAGCAACUGCCUUUCCUUUUGUCUGCAAGGCGUGGGCCCGCUCCUUAAUUCGAGCUGCCUCCAUGGCUCUUUGCAUGAGAUCUUUUUUUCUUUUUGCAAAAGAAUGGACUUGACUUGAGCAUACAUUGUUAAUCACCACUCACUGCAAAGCCUUCCUCUGGAAUGGCUUCUUUCUGUUUGUUUAAAACAAAACGCUGUCCGGCAAAGAGAAUAUACGAAGGAUAAAGACGGUGGUAGAGCACGGCAGGAUAAAAACUACUUCCUUCAUUCCACAAUGUAGUGCCUAUACAUUUUUAUGAAAGUCAAACUUUAUCAACUUUGACCAAGUGUAUAGGGAAAUUGUCUACAUCUACAAUACCAAACAUAUACAUUUUGAAAAUAUAACUCACGAUUUAUCCAAUGAUGUGCAUUUGGUAUUCCAGACGUACCUACUUUUUUAUAUAAACAUGGCCAAAGUUUAUAAUGUUUGACUUCUGUAAAAAUCUAUAGGCACUACAUUAUAAAAGCGGAGGGAGUACCAAAGUAAAAAAGAUUAAGAAAUAAAGAAAGACAGUCGAGAGGAUUUGAUUUGAGGAAACGAAAGCAGGGUUCGGGACGGGAGCAAGGUAAAAAAGCAAAGCGCGACGGGUUCAUCAUUGUGGUCACGCAAAAGCAGAGCAAAGCGUGGCCGCCGGGACACUGUAGCGUGCUCGCCCGCUACACGGGCAGGGCAGGGCACGGCACGGCGGCGAACGCUACGGCGGAGCAGAGCAUGUCGCAGAAGGGAAAUGUUCCCCCUGCCCUGCUGCUGCGAUUCAAAUGAGAGGGUACGUAGGUCGAUCGAGUGGCUGGUGGUAGGAAAAGUCAGGGCGCACAAGGUUCCAGGACUGCCGAUGAUGCACGCGGCAAGUCAACACGCCGCUGGGAGAUAAUGUGGGCAUGCCUGAUUGUUCAUGGGGAUUUCGUAGGGCACAGGUGGUGGAUUCCGGCAGAAUUUGGGCGUCAGUCGUGUGAUGAGUGCCGUCCUGGCUCUGUGGCUCAAGGCUGCGGUCAAAGCUGUUUCGUGGAUUCCAAACUCAUGACAUCAAUCGGACGGCGUGGACGAUGGCUGGCUGUGGGUGUAUCUUGUGAAUGUGUGUGGUGGGACAGUGGUCGCCAGAGGUUAGGUUAAGGUCAGCCAUGCACCAACUUUUGAAUUAAAUGCGUGGAAGAAGAAGAUUGUCGAAUAAAAAGUAGUGUUGAGCUUUUCAGUUUCAAAAUCUGGAAUUCAUAAUUCAGCUAAAGUUGAAUAAUUUGAGGCAACUUUUGGUUUGAGGGGAUCAUAGUUUCGUUUAUCAUUCGUAAGAAUUUGAUAAUAAUGUCCAGGUGGAUUUGUAAAAUUCAUGUCCAGGUGGAAAUUUUCUACAUUUUUCCUUGGCUACAUUUCUUUGAAUCACAUGUAUGAAUAGUAUCACUGUAGGAAAAAAAUCUUAUGAUUUUUCUCCAUUUAUCCUUUGAACAAAAGAGGCCAUCAGUACCUUUCUGUAGGAGUACUCAAAGUAAAUUUCAGAUGUGAAUAUUCUACUCCAUCCGUAUUUAUUUACUUCCAAUAUUAGCUUGUAUUAAGUCAAACUUGGCUAAUUUUGACCAACUAUAGAUAACAAAUUAUUUACGGCUACAAUACCAAACAAAUACCAUUAGAUUCAUCAUUGAAUAUAUUUUCAUGCCAUAUAUACUCACUUUGUCUUAAAAUAUAAGACAGAGUAAAUACUCAUAUUGUUUAUAUUUUGAGACAUGGGUAGUAUUUGUUAUGGUAAAUACUCGUAUUAUUUUCAAUAAACUUUGUCAAAUUUAUAAAGUUUCACUUUAUACAAACCUAAUAUGUAGAGUAAAAACAAAUGUAGAGAAUAUUUGCUACGUAUAACCUGGAGGAUUUUUCUUCUUCCAGCUGAGUAUAUUAAACCCGACUUAUCUCCUUCCCUUGGCAGCUAGGGCAAACUCUUCCCUCCAGACUUUGCCGGUGAGCCCGUGGAUUCGUCUCCCCUCCACCUUCCGCUCCGGCGGCCGGUGGCAGGGAGGGGAAUCUCGGUGCCUCCGCUUCGGAUAGUAGUUCAGGUUAGGAUUUUUUUAGUCCUCGCAGGUGUGGCGCUCGGGUGGAUGGCGGCGCUUUUUCUUCAAGUUUGUAUUUCGUGCUCCGAUCCUCCUCGAGUUUGUCCAUCUGGACGUAGUUGACAGAGGUCCGGCGUACAUUCCUACUGUCUCCUUCGGGCAGUGAGGUUAGGAUUUCUCGUCGUGUGGCGAGAUUUGGUGUGAGGUGCUUCAGAUCUAUUCAAGGGUUCAACGACGACAACCACGGCUCCAAGACGCUAGUCCUUAGGGGCACGUGUACGAAGACUUCCCGGCUGGUCAAGCCGGCUCCAAUAAGGGAGCGGCGACAGCGGCACGUCGGCGGCUCCUUCUGGCGGAGGUAGUGAUCGUUCGGUGGUCUCGGUAUCUUGAUGCUAUUUUUAUUAUGUUUGAGGUUCUUUGUACUUCCGGUGAACUUUAAUAAUAAAUCUGAAUCAUUUUCACACAAAAAACUUAUCUCUUUUUUUUUACGAAACCAUAACAUACUAUCUAUUAUUAUGUAUAUGAAUAUAUUGGCAUGAAACACAUGAGAUUCCCUAUUUUACCUUCGACCUACCAACAGCUACCACCCAUUUGAUGCAUGGGCCAUUCCACCUUGUUGAGACCCCUCUCGUGUUAAUUCCCCUCAGACUUGAUCCAUGCGAUUUAAAGUACUCGUGACAUAGCGCUGAGGCAUUAUUUAACGUGAAGAACUUCACGAGGCAUGAUUCGGUCCAAGGUUUGGUAGAGCUAGAGCGUGCAUGCAGUUACUGCUGCACCCACCCACCUACAUGUAAGUUGGCCUACACAUGUUAACGUGCGCGGCAAACUUGUGGCUGGAAUCAGUGCAGAUCAACUCUGGGCCUGUAAUUAGUGCAUCUGCAGAGUAUAUAUUUGGUUUCGAAGCUGCGGGCUAAUGCGGGCCUGACAGUGUUCCAAACUUCCAACACACAAAAAUAAUGCAGAUUUUGACUGCUGAAAGCUUAUGACAAGGCGGCAGGAAAGGCAUGCAGACAGAGGAAAAGUCGAGUUGAAUUCGUUGCAUGCACGCAUGUUUGCUGACAUCUUAAUACCAGGGACGAUAAGCUGCUAGUGACAAUUGCACCACCAUUUAAACGCAAUGAAGCAUGCAACGCGGCCGUACGCCUCACGAUAAUGCGACGUACGCUCCUCGCAAAUCAGUCAGUGAUGUUUCCACUAGCUGCCUCCCCGGUUGGAACCCUCCCUCUCUCACGCACAAGUCAAAACCUCAGCUUUCUAUGAUUGCUUUCAUGGCUACGGAGAUUUGAAAUGGUACGUGCGUGUGCCCCCUGCCGGCCGCCGAUCAUGGGGCGUACGAGCUAGCUAGCCUCCCGGGGCAAGCGGACAAGGGGGAGAGAAGAGAAAAACAUGACAAGCCAAAGAUCGCAGAGGGACGUGCAUGCUGACAUGCAAGUCGAGCAGUGUACCGUGUACGCACUGCGACUCUGCGAGUGUAGUAUAGUACUACGCCCGUGUGUAAUGCGACGCAGGGUGGCAAAACAAAUCAGAUCUGGACGGAGACCGAGAAAACCGGUGUUGGAUCGGUUCGGUCGGUAUGAUUCAUGCGUACUAUCAAUGCGGCCGUACUGCGGAGUAGUACUGCUAGAUGCGUGGAAGAUCGGAUACGGUGGUCAAUCAUGGCAUGGGUCUCCCAGCCAGCCAGUUUGGCUCGCGCCGGCGCGCGAGCGGGGUCAUCAUGCCGUGUCGCGGCCGGGCCGGCCGCCACCGUCGCCUGCUCGUAUUUACUUCUCGUGACAACAUUUAGCGUCGCCGCGGUGGCGGCCUGCUUGAGGUUGGUGGCGGUACUGGCGAUGGUUAGUCUUUGCUGCCGCUUCAGUUAUGCUAUGCACCGACGCAACGCCAGCCUUGCGCGCGCCCACCUCAGAUCGAGACGAGGAAAUGGUUUCUGAAUCGGCUCGGUCGACGUCAAAAGCAGAGAGCGGCGGGCAAGUCGCAAGUGCAUGGCUUGGUUCCCGUCCUCAACGCUAAGUAUUUGAGAAAAGAAAAGAGUAUUGCUGGUCAUGCUAGCUCAUGCAUGUAUGUAGUACGUAUUGCUACUACCUUUUAUGUUUUGUUUUCGGGGAGCUUGAAGUGUGCUCAUAUUUGCAGCGUUAAGGAUUUUGGGGAGCAGUACGCCUGCAUGCAUGGCAAAAGCUACCCACCCUGCCGUGCUAGCGCUGAGAAACUGUGCUGCGGUUGUCGCAAUCUCGGCGUGUUGCUACUGCAGAGCUCACCGUACGUGUUUCCGGCGCUACUUUGGUCGACAUGAACUAGUGGAGUUGUUACGCUGUACUAUAGCAGAACGCUACGUCGCCACCAUCCGGUGACUUGUUUGGUGUACGGUGUGCAUUCUGUGUUUCUCUAGGAUAUGUCUGUGUCGUUGAGCUGUUAUUAUCAUGAGGCAAAAAUACUCUGCUCUCACUGCUUUUAUCUUCCUUUCCUACGACUUGUAUGAAUCCUGUAUUUUUCUUAUCGAUAAUUGUCUGUGUGGUGCAACGGGAGUAUACACAUGUUAGUAUGUUAGUCUGUUACUGCACCUCUAUCGUUUGUACAUUUGCGGCACUAAAAUUUCAGUAAAUUUUUAUAUGCAAUGACCGUGAUUUACCUGUCAUUUUAUUGUAAGCACUUAUUUGAUAAGAACUAAUGCCUUUACAAAUGAAAAAAAUGAAUUUUGUACAUCAAUAAGGCGUGGGGCGGUUAAGCCGUGGUUUUAGGGGCCACCGACAGGAGAAAAGCCAGAGAUGNNNNNNNNNNNNNNNNNNNNNNNNNNNNNNNNNNNNNNNNNNNNNNNNNNNNNNNNNNNNNNNNNNNNNNNNNNNNNNNNNNNNNNNNNNNNNNNNNNNNNNNNNNNNNNNNNNNNNNNNNNNNNNNNNNNNNNNNNNNNNNNNNNNNNNNNNNNNNNNNNNNNNNNNNNNNNNNNNNNNNNNNNNNNNNNNNNNNNNNNNNNNNNNNNNNNNNNNNNNNNNNNNNNNNNNNNNNNNNNNNNNNNNNNNNNNNNNNNNNNNNNNNNNNNNNNNNNNNNNNNNNGCGGAAAUAAAAAUAGGGAGGAAGGAGGGGAGAACAAGCAAAAUGGGAACCUUAUACAUUUUUUUAGGUAGUAGAGAGGCGAGAUGGCGGCAACUCUCUGAAGAUGGAAUAAGGUUCUACAAGUCUAGUCAGCGUCUUGGUGGUGCUUCUAGCGUUGAAGGAGGACGUGUAGAGGUUUUUCUACGGCGGAUCUUGCGGGAUUCAGCCGGCGCUUUGUCUUCGGUGGAUCCCCAUGAAGCCAUUGUUCAUUCAUCUGUGUUCAUGUGUCUACAAGUUGGACCCUUCCAAUCUACACUUCUCUUUAUCGACGACGAUUGCUGUUCUGAUGCGCUAUUCUAUGGGGCCUUAACAUGACGACUUUCGGACUGUCUACUACAACCAGAGGCAUAGACAAACCCUAGAUUGCCUGGGCGAUGGCCUGGGGCGUAGUGAGCGACCUCAAUGUGGAUUAUAGCAACACUAUCAUACUGUAGCCACAAUAACCACAGUAGCUCAAAGGAUGGCCUGGGGCGUAGAAAGUUCAUGAGUACGACACUAAUUGCAACAACCUUUGCCCGGCUACAACAAUGUUUGCCUAGUUUCGAUGAGGGUGGGGUCAGUGGCGAAGCCAUGCAUGAUCUGUGCAGUCAAAUGACUACACAAGUUUUUGGCAAAAGCAUCAUACAAUAAGUAUAUACAUGCAGAAAAAAUCAUAAAUACAUAUAUAUGACUACACAAAUUUGAGUUGACUACACAUGAAUGAAUUUCUCGCACCGCCACUGGGUGGGGUGAUGACGGUGAUGCGCCUUCAACUCACCCUAGCACUUUUAGUUGUCGCUAGGUGGUGCACUGACCUAGAUGUAUUUUUUUAGUAUUCUUUGUACCACGUUUCAGAAGUUUGUACUCCCUUCAAUAAGAUUGGAAAAAGCAGUAGGCGUAAGUGAGGCGGUUGGCCUUUGCCUAGUGCAUAGGAGGUGCUUAAGCACCCUAACCGCCGCCUAGACGGUAAUAUAGUUUUUACUAUCAUGGUGUAUUCGUCAUAUUAUAUGUGUAAGAAUAUUAAUUUAGGGCAUAUAAAUAAUUUAACUACCAACUAGUGGCGUUGCAAUAUGUUUCGUUUGGCAUAUCAGUACAAUAUGUCAUGAUUUCUUGUUCGAGUAGACAGUUUCUUGCUUGCCCUGCUUAAGCGUGGCUAAACGCGGCACUGCCUUUUCCAAUCACUAUAUGGAUAAGAGGGAGUAGCAUAAUUUGGUGGACUAAUCACUGGGGCUAGACCUGACAUCCGAAACACAUUAAUUAAAAUAUAUUCAUGCAACGUAGGCGAUCGAUCAAUUGCAGCACAAAAGAAGUGCUGCAGUGCAGUGCAUUCUGGGGAACACUGGUAGUCUGGUACGCACCGUGCGAUUAGUGCAAUGCAUGCAGCGCACGUACGUACGCGACCAGAAAGUGACCCAGUGACGAAGGGUUCAUGCAUGCAUGCAUGCAUGGCCUUCGAAACUUGUGUCGGCGUCGGGGUACGUCUGACGAUAGGAAGGAGACCUUCGGCUCGAUCUGGGGCCUCUCGACAGGGCCGGCGGCUGGCCGGAUCGAUCGACCGAGCCCCUACCUGAAAGCACACGAACUGACUGAUCGAGAAGGAGGGCCGCGACAAACAUAAACGGAUGGGGGAAACCAAACUGGUGGCAUGCAUACACUUGCAUUCUCCAUACGUACGUGCACGAUGAUACUAGGUGAGUGCGCACACUGCAAGCGGCGUGGCGUGGAUAGGUCGAUCGUGUCGGCCGGCCACUGCCAGGCGCUGCAUGCGCCAUGGGCAGAUGUGACGGCACACCGCGCUCGAUUGAUCGAUGAUCUCGGCUGCUCGCGCGGAGGCGCACAGGCGCAUUGGGUGACCGGCCGGCCGGCCGUGCAUGAUUGCGCCCCCCACGCUGGCUGCCACGCAGGCUAUAGGGUAAAAAAGCGAUCGACUGUGAGCAACGCAGACUCCGAGGCACCCCGUCCGUCCGUCUCUCCUGCGACUGGUGUGCCAUCGUCCUUUCCCGGACCGGCGGGGGGACCCGACCGCCGGCGCGUGCCGCCGUGGCUAAUCGAUGGGCGCAUGAGUGCGUGCGUCCAUGGACGUGCCUGGUCGAUCGAUGAUUUCUUUUCUCCCCAGGAAGAGCAUGUCUUCUUCUGUUUAGCAGUGCAUGUCGUGCGUACGCGACUGAUGUAUGCAUGUGGUAUGCAUGCCCUCGACCAUGAUCCAUCCAUGCCACGCCACAUGCCAUGCACGCGUUCUCGGCGCACUACGGCGACUCCACUCCACCGCGGCGGGACACCAGUACAAUACACCACUGAGCACUGGCUGGCCGGAGAUUUUCAAGCGACAGGCGGGAGCAGAGCGUCCUGGCCCAACCUAUGGUACUGCAAAUGAAAGCUGUCCGGCCCUCGCUCGAAGGCCAGUACGUGCGUGCAGGUGUGUAGCCUGCCUGCAUGCAGCUAGCGGGCGAGCGACAUGGCCUGGCCUCGCUUGGCCGCUUUCAUUCUGUCCGUGUGCGCCGAACCGAGCCGCACGACGACGGCGAGGACACGCACCGAUCGGACGGACGCGGCCUCGCAUGGCUACAUGGGUUUCGGUACAAUGAUUGGCGAUUUUCGCUCGCCGCGGCACUGUAGAAAGAAAUCAGGGGGCUGCAAUGCAUGCAUGCACGGCGCAGGCUGCGGCUGCGACCGGCUAGCUCUACUGCAGAGAGGGUCGGAGGGCUGUGACUGUAGCAUGUAGAGUAGGUAUAUGCCGCGUGCGUCUUGUACGAAUAUGGUACUCGGAAUUCCGUCGGGAUCGGGGAGAGGCAGCUUUCUGUCGUGCUGCCGCAGCUUUGCGCUGCCGUUCGUUCAAAGUAAUACAGUAAUGACCUGGUUUGUUCACCGAGAAUAAAAGUUUGAACCAUUUUGAGGAGAUGGCAAGAGCAAGAGGCCUUCAAUCUCUCGGAUAACACACUUAUGAAGUUAUUAUUUUUUAACCGGGCUAAUCCCCUUUCCAUUAAAGAUAUAACGAAAAUACAGCCAAAUCCAAGUCCACACAAAAGGGAAAGGGAAAAGGCGAGUUCAAGCACUUCAGGAAAACCUGCUGUGAGCGCUCGCAAUCGAAACGCCCACUACGAGGCAAAAACCCUGAAGCACCAUCGACACGCAGCUAACAUCAACAAGAUNNNNNNNNNNNNNNNNNNNNNNNNNNNNNNNNNNNNNNNNNNNNNNNNNNNNNNNNNNNNNNNNNNNNNNNNNNNNNNNNNNNNNNNNNNNNNNNNNNNNNNNNNNNNNNNNNNNNNNNNNNNNNNNNNNNNNNNNNNNNNNNNNNNNNNNNNNNNNNNNNNNNNNNNNNNNNNNNNNNNNNNNNNNNNNNNNNNNNNNNNNNNNNNNNNNNNNNNNNNNNNNNNNNNNNNNNNNNNNNNNNNNNNNNNNNNNNNNNNNNNNNNNNNNNNNNNNNNNNNNNNNNNNNNNNNNNNNNNNNNNNNNNNNNNNNNNNNNNNNNNNNNNNNNNNNNNNNNNNNNNNNNAGUGUCACCAACAUACGCGGUCGCACAGAGUCUCAUCAUCUCCUUGGCAUUCUCCUUCAGCAACAUUGUGUCACGCUCCAGCUCCAUUUUCCCUUCGCCUUUCAGUCACUACACCACAACACUAUUUCCCCAACAGACAUGUCGUUAGGGAAAACAACGUCCACCGACAGACAAUCGGUCGGGAAGGACUAUUGCCGACUGACCAUGCCUGUUGGGGAAAAUCCAGACGGGAAAGCCUUUUCCCGACUGACAUAUCUUUACCGACCAAUAGUUUGACAGCUAUCAAAAGCAUUCCCGACCGACUUUCUGCUGGCCUUGCUAUGAACAUUUCCCGACCAAUUGUCUGAUGAUAAACUUUCCCGACCGACUGUCCGAUGGUAGUACAUUUCCCGACCGACUUUCUCUCGGCCCUGCCAUAAACCUUUCCCGACCAACUGUAGGAUGUUGUUAUCUUUUGCCAACCAACAGUUUGAUAGCCUUUUGUUUAGCUGAGCAAGGCUCGUGCCUUGUCAAACAAUAUCAAUCAAGUUGCAUAUCUCAUUACAACACAAUAUCAAUCAUGUUACAGUAACUUGCAUGUACUCUCAAAAUAUUAAACCAGAACCAAAGAAGAAUAUUCUCAUAGGCAAAAGUAACUAACUCAAAGGAGGAAACGUUUAUGUUUCAACCAUGGAGACACCUGAUUGGUUUACAAAAUGAUAGAUACAUGUCCGACUAUUCAUUGCUUGCUCCAUUACACAAAAUGCCCAGUUGACAAGACACCAUAGAGGAUUACAAAAUGAUAACUAAAAGACACAUUGUUUUUGCUCCAUUACACAAAAUGUCUAGCUAACGCAAACCGCCAUAUUCAUGGUUCCUUCCUGGUACUCUUGUAUGUAAUUCCUACAAAGAAUAAAAUGGUCACCGGUGAAUUCAUGCAUUCAUAGAGAUAAUGGCAAAAAUAAUAAUUGUAUAAAGCAUCAAUGGCAAAAACAAAUUGGGAUUUUAGUAUUAUGAAAACAUGGCAUGUUCUAAUUAGAAUCUGUGAUGGGUUACACAUAAUAAAGCAUCAAUGCCACACCGACCCACCAUAUAGCAUGUAUCAAUCUCCUCAAGCCGCAGACAAGGAAGUAUAUUAAAAGGAAAAGGAGCAUAUGCAUCAGCUAGCCACAAGGCAACAAUUUAGCAUGUCCAGACACUCAAUUAUUGGGAGCAACACAUCCACGAACGGACACACGAAAAUCAUUUUUGAAGAAAAGAUUGCACUAGUUUUCUUUAUUUUUCUUCUCUGGGGUAGAAAAGAGCGCACUUUGCUGCACUAGACGGCAAUACAUUAGCAAAAUGAUUACUAUCUAAUACACAACUAGGAGUUUCAAUGAUGAGUGCAGCGCCUGGGAAAAGCAUCCUCAAAAACCCACAUACAUCAGGAGGUUAUACAUACUUUCCCUAUGUUAGAAAUGAAUUUCAAGGAGAAGACUCUAUUCGCAAUCAUUUCUAAAUGCAGUACUAAGCACAUGAGGAAAUCUGUAACCAGUUCAUGAAAAUAAAUUUCAGAAAACUACAAACCAAUAAUGAAUCUUAAUUAACUGCAUUCCCUAGGGAUGUGUGUUGGGAUUAACUAAUCUCCAUUAAAAAUCUAAGUGUAUAUUCUAAAAAACAGCAUAACAGUGAUUCACAAGUGUUGCAUUUUGAUGCAAAAUAACAAGAAUAAUAGCAGUCAACUUAAGAGAUCCUAGUGCAACCUAUGAUGCCCACUUUCGACACCAUGGAUGCUUUGACAAGAAGAUGUCAUAUUUCCUCAAGUUGUACAGGCACACACCAUGCUGACACCAAGGUGCAGUGUACAAAUUUCAAGCAAAAUUAUCACUAGUAGCCUCAUUAUACAUCAAAUAAUACAAGCCAAGUAGCAAAAAUUAUCACUAGUCACUACAACAUCAUACAUAAAAAAUACAGAUUUCGAGAAAAAUAGCAGUACACAGAAAUCCAUUUUGUAGCCUUGAGAUAAUUGAGUUGGAGAAAGCCCUAUGCCUCAGCUUUUAAUUCGUUCAUGUCAUUAUUUGAAUUUCAAGAAAGCAGAGUGAGAAUGGAAUGAUAUUCAAGUUAAUCAAAUCAACUAAUAUAAUGGAAAACAAUGUCAUAUGGUGUUCAUUCAUAUAUAACAUCAUGAUUAUGACAAAGCAUACCUUAGACAUUGUCUUCGGUGUGCUAGUCAAUUGUCUCAGGAGAAGAGUGAGAUAAUCAAGCCAUGAUACCUCCCUGUAAUUACCAACGAUUAAAAAACUUAACACAAAUCCUCUUGAAAGUCAAAUUAUAUUCUCUGAAGUUACAACAUUGCCAAAGGAUCUCGAGUUCUAGUAAAUGUUUGCCACAAAAAAACUCAACAAAUGAUCUUAUUUUUCAGCUUGAGAAUCAUAAUCUUUCAUCUCAAAGAUGUGAUCUAGGCAGGUUAAGAGACGUCUAAGGCAACCUUUAAUUCAGUCAUUAUGAAGGCACUUGUUCAAAGUAGUUACAACAAAAAAUGAGCAUGCUAUAUGUCUACCAACUAGUCCCUCCGUCCCAUAAUAUAAGAGUGUUUUUGCCACUACACCGGUGUCAAAAACACUUAUAUUAUUGGAUGGAUGGAGUAAUAGUUUGCUGGCCAUCGAACAGAAAUCCAUGGUCCACAUAUUUUUUCUACCAGGUGAAAUUAUGGUCCUUAUCUUAACUAGCCAGAGAGCACCUCAUGAGUAUGUAGAGCUUGGAUGAUCUACACGAACAUAACUGUUUUCCAAUUUGGACCUACAACAGAAGGAUAUAUAAUCAUUUGACUACACUAACCAAUAGAAGUACAUCCUAAUCCUUUAGCUACAGACCAUCCCUUACCUAACGAGCUUUGAAGUUAUGAGUUAGCUUGGAUUCCCAUAUGCAUAUGUAUGUGAACGUACAUAAUAAGAUGGACCUAUAUAUGUGAGAUGUGGUAUAACUCCAAAUUCAGCAAAUUUGUGUUAUGCUUACUUGCUAGUGCUAUGCUUCCCCUUCCUUUGUUGAUGCGUAUAACUCCAAAUUUAGCAACGAUGUGCUAUGUUCCUCCAUCCUGUAGUAAAUAGGGAUAAGCCCAUUGAAUCAAAUCCCCUCACCAAAACCCCAAAAGGUUAAAUCCAUGGGGGUGGAAAUCAACACACUACAGGCAGAGAAGGGAAGAAGGAGACCAUACAAGGGAGAGAGAUCUUACCCAAAGCCAGAACCUAGAAGCUGCAUGUGGAUUACAAAUUGGUUGGUGCUCGAGCUGAUGACGCCGCUGGCCGGGAACCCAACCCAGACAGCUUCUAGGAGGUGUAGCUAGAAACAUACACGGGGUUGGACACCACGAGCAGAAGCACCUUCAGGAAGUGCUUCGCCACGGACACAACAUGGUCUUCAAGCACAGGGCAGUGCUCCUCUGCAGGAGGUUGAGACUCGUCUUCCGCGGGAUCUGCCCGGCGUCCGCGUGACAACGAGGGUUCGAGUGGAGAGAGCGCCUGGUCAGAGGAAGGUUCGAGCGCGUGGGGGAAGGCGGUGUGGGGCGGCAGGAUAGCAGGUGCGGGAGCCGCAGGAAGGUGCGGGGACGCGACGGAGAGGCCGGCAGCGGGAGCCCAAGGUGGCUCGCGUGGGGAAUGAGGAAAGGGAAACUAGGGAUUUGGCUCGCGUGUGUUGUGGCUUUGCUGCAGAGGGGAAAAUCAUUCGCGGGCUUGGGCCAAAUGUUGGCGCUAACUUUAAUUCCUGCGCGCGCGCAAGCCCAAUUGCAACAGACGGUUGGUCGGCAUUAUUUACCGACUGAUGAAUUGAUGGGCACAAGAGCUUUCCCGACCGAUCAUUGGACAACAAAUAUUUUCGCAUUCCCGACCGAUUAUCUGUCAUCGUACGCACAGUUUCCCGACCGACUGUCUGUCACAAGUUUUCCCGACUGACUAUCGGUCGGCGAUACCGACUUUUCCCAACAUACGUCCGUAGGGAAUGCAAUGUCGUGGUGUAGUGAGUAGACUUGACCAAUAAGAUAAAUGCACACAGGCAGUGAAGUGUUGGGGAACGUAGCAGAAAUUCAAAAGUUUCCUACGUGUCACCAAGAUCUAUCUAUGGAGAAACUAGCAACGAGGGGAAGGAGAGUGCAUCUACAUACCCUUGUAGAUCGCUAAGCGGAAGCGUUCAAGUGAACGGGGUUGAUGGAGUCGUACUCGUCGUGAUUCAAAUCACCGAUGAUCAAGUACUGAAAGGACGACACCUCCGUGUUCAACACACGUACAGCCCGGUGACGUCUCCCACGCCUUGAUCCAGCAAGGAGAGAGGGAGAGGUUGAGGAAGACUCCAUCCAGCAGCAGCACAACGGCGUGGUGGUGGUGGAGGAGCGUGGCAAUCCUGCAGGGCUUCGCCAAGCACCGCGGAAGAGGAGAAGAAUUUGGGAGAGAGGGAGGGGCUGCACCAAAGGCAAAAGGUGUGUCUCAAGAGGCCCUCUACCCCCACUAUAUAUAGGGAUCCCAAGGGGGUGCGCCAGCCCUAGGAGAUCCAAUCUCCUAGGGGGCGGCGGCCAGGGGAGGAGUCCAUCCCCCCCAAGGCACCUAGGAGGUGCCUUCCCCUUCUGGGACUCUUCCUUUUAGGGUUCCCUAGGCGCAUGGGCCUCUUGGGGCUGGUGCCCUUGGCCCAUGUAGGCCAAGGCGCACCCCCUACAGCCCAUGUGCCCCCCCCGGGGCAGGUGGCCCCACCCGGUGGGCCCCCGGGACCCUUCCGGUGGUCCCGGUACAAUACCGAUGACCCCGAAACUUGUCCCGAUGGCCGAAACAGGACUUCCUAUAUAUAAAUCUUUACCUCCGGACCAUUCCGGAACUCCUCGUGACGUCCGGGAUCUCAUCCGGGACUCCAAACAACAUUUGGUAACCACAUACAAGCUUCCUUUAUAACCCUAGAGUCAUCGAACCUUAAGUGUGUAGACCCUACGGGUUCGGGAGACAUGCAGACAUGACCGAGAUGUUCUCCGGUCAAUAACCAACAGCGGAUCCGGAUACCCAUGUUGGCUCCCACAUGUUCCACGAUGAUCUCAUCGGAUGAACCACGAUGUCAAGGACUCAAUUGAUCCCGUAUACAAUUCCCUUUGUCUAGCGGUAUUGUACUUGCCCGAGAUUCGAUCAUCGGUAUACCGAUACCUUGUUCAAUCUCAUUACCGGCAUGUCUCUUUACUCGUUCCGUAACACAUCAUCCCGUGAUCAACCCCUUGGUCACAUUGUGCACAUUAUGAUGAUGUCCUACCGAGUGGGCCCAGAGAUACCUCUCCGUUUACACGGAGUGACAAAUCCCAGUCUCGAUUCGUGCCAACCCAACAGACACUUUCGGAGAUACCUGUAAUGCACCUUUAUAGCCACCCAGUUACGUUGUGACGUUUGAUACACCCAAAGCAUUCCUACAGUAUCCGGGAGUUGCACAAUCUCAUGGUCUAAGGAAAAGAUACUUGACAUUAGAAAAGCUUCAGCAUACGAACUACACGAUCUCUAUGCUAGGCUUAGGAUUGGGUCUUGUCCAUCACAUCAUUCUCCUAAUGAUGUGAUCCCGUUAUCAAUGACAUCCAAUGUCCAUGGUCAGGAAACCGUAACCAUCUAUUGAUCAACGAGCUAGUCAACUAGAGGCUUACUAGGGACAUGGUGUUGUCUAUGUAUUCACACGUGUAUUACGAUUUCCGGAUAAUACAGUUAUAGCAUGAAUAAAAGACUAUUAUCAUGAACAAAGAAAUAUAAUAAUAACAUAUUUAUUAUUGCCUCUAGGGCAUAUUUCCAACAGUCUCCCACUUGCACUAGAGUCAAUAAUCCAGUUCACAUCGAUAUGUGAUUAACACUCAAGGUCACAUCCCCAUGUGACUAACACCCAAGAGUUCUGGGUUUGAUCAUGUUAUGCUUGUGAGAGAGGUUAUAGUCAACGGGUCUGAACCUUUCAGAUCCGUGUGUGCUUUACAAAUCUCUAUGUCAUCUCCUAGAUGCAUCUACCACGCUCUAUUUGGAGCCAUUCCAAAUAACUGUUCUACUUGGAGCUAUUCUAAAUUGUUGAUCCAUUAUACGUAUCCGGUAUCUCUACUUAGAGCUAUCCGGAUAGGUGUCAAGCUUGCAUCGACGUAACCCUUUACGACGAACUCUUUUACCACCUCCAUAAUCGAGAAAAUUCCUUAGUCCACUAGUUACUAAGGAUAACUUUGACCGCUAUCCUGUGAUCCAUUCUUGGAUCACUCUUGUACCCCUUGACUGACUCAUGGCAAGGCACACUUCAGGUGCGGUACUCAGCAUGGCAUACUGUAGAGCCUAUGUCUGAAGUAUAGGGGACGACCUUCGUCCUUUCUCCCUAUUCUGCCGUGGUCGAGCUUUAAGUCUUAACUUCGUACCUUUACAGCUCAGGCAAGAACUUCUUCUUUGACUGAUCCAUCUUGAACACCUUCAAGAUCAUGUCAAGGUAUGUGCUCACUUGAAAGUACCAUUAAGCGUUUUGAUCCAUCCUCAUAGAUCUUGAUGCUCAAUGUUCAAGUAGUUUAUUCCAGGUUUUCUAUUGAAAAAUACCUUUCAAAUAACCCUAUAUGCUUUCUAGAAAUUCUACGUCAUUUCUGAUCAUCAAUAUAUGUCAACAACAUAUACUCAUCAGAAAUUCUAUAGUGCUCCCACUCACUUCUUUGGAAAUACAAGUUUCUCAUAAACUUUGUAUAAACCAAAAAUCUUUGAUCAUCUUAUCAAAAAUCAUUCCAAAUCCGAGAUGCUUACUCCAGUCCUUGGAAGGAUCGCUGGAGCCAGCACACCUUUUAGCAUCCUUAGGAUCGACAAAACCUUUCUGAUUGUAUCGCAUACAACCUUUCCUUACGAAAACUGGUAAGGAAACUCGUUUUGACAUCCAUCUGCCAGAUUUCAUAAAUGCAGCUAAUGCUAACAUGAAUCCGACGGACUUAAGCAUCGCUACGGAUGAGAAAAUGUCAUCGUAGUCAACUCCUUGAACUUGUGGAAAAACUCUUCGCCACAAGUCGAGCUUCAUAGACGGUGACAUUACCAUCCACGUCCGUCUUCUUCUUAAAGAUCCAUUUAUCUUAAUGGCUUGCCGAUCAACGGGCAAGUCCACCAAAGUCCAUGCUUUGUUCUGAUACAUGGAUCCUAUCUCGGAUUUCAUGGCUUCUAACCAUUUAUUGGAAUUUGGGCCCACCAUCGCUUCUCCAUAGCUCGUAGGUUCAUUGUUGUCUAGCAACAUGACCUUCAAGACAGGAUUACUGUACCACUCUGAAGUAGUACGUAUCCUUGUCACCCUACGAGGUACGACAGUGACUUGAUCCGAAAAUUCAUGAUCACUAUCAUAAGCUUCUACUUCAAUUGGUGUAGGUGCCACAUGAACAACUUCCUGUGCCCUGAUACACACUGGUUGAAGUGAUGGUUCAAUAACCAUAUCAAGUCUCCACCAUCGUCCCACUCAACUCUUUUGAGAGAAACUUUUCCUCGUGAAAGGACCCGAUUCAAGAAACAAUCCAUAUUUCUUUCGGAUCUGAAUUAGGAGGUAUACCCAACUAUUUUGGGUGUCCUAUGAAGAUGCAUUUUAUCCACUUUGGGUUCGAGCUUAUCAAUCCUGAAACUUUUUCAUAUAAGCGUCGCAGCCCCAAACUUUUAAGAAACGACGACUUAGGUUUCUCUAAACCAUAAUUCAUACGGUGUCAUCUCAACGGAAUUACGUGGUGCCCUAUUUAAAGUGAAUGUGGUGUCUCUAAUGCCUCACCCAUGAACAAUAGUGGUAAUUCGAUAAGAGACAUCAUGGUACGCGCCAUAUCCAAUAGGAUGCAACUAUGAUGUUCGGACACACCAUCACACUAUGGUGUUCCAGGCGGUAUUAAUUGUGAAACAAUUUCCACAAUGUCUUAAUUGCGUGCCAAAACUCGUAACUCAGAUAUUCAUCUCUAUGAUCAUAUCAUAUACAUUUUAUCCUCUUGUCACAAUGAUCUUCUACUUCACUCUGAAAUUACUUGAACUAUUCAAUAAUUCAGACUUGUGUUUCAUCAAGUAAAUAUAUUCAACAUCUACUCGAAUCAUCUGUGAAGUAAGAACAUAACGAUAUUCACUGCAUGCCUCAGCACUCAUUGGACUACACACAUCAAAAUGUGUUACUUCCAACAAGUUGCUAUCUUGUUCCAUCUUACUGAAACCGAGGCUUUUCAGUCAUCUUGCCCAUGUGGUAUGAUUUGCAUAUCUCAAGUGAUUCAAAAACAAGUGAGUCCAAACGAUCCAUCUGCAUGGAGUUUCUUCAUGCGUAUACACCAAUAGACAUGGUUCGCAUGUCUCAAACUUUUCAAAAACGAGUGAGUCCAAAGAUCCAUCAACAUGGAGCUUCUUCAUGCUUUUUAUACCAUUAUGACUUACAUGGCAGUGCCACAAGUAAGUGGUACUAUCAUUACUAUCUUAUAUCUUUUGGCAUGAAAAAUGUGUAUCACUACGAUCGAGAUUCAAUAAACCAUUCCUUUAGGUGCAAGACCAUUGAAGGUAUUAUUCAAAUAAACAGAGUAACCAUUAUUCUCUUUAAAUGAAUAACCGUAUUGCGAUAGUCAUAAUCCAAUCAUGUCUAUGCUCAACGCGAACACCAAAUAACAAUUAUUCAGGUUUUAACACCAAUCUCGAUGAUAGAGGGAGCGUGCGAUGCUUGAUCAUAUCAACAUUGGAAACACUUCCAACACAUAUCGUCAGCUCACCUUUAGCUAGUCUCCGUUUAUUCCGUAGCUCUUUUAUUUCGAGUUACUAACACUUAGCAACUGCACCGGUAUCUUAAUACCCUGGUGCUACUAGGAGUACUAGUAAAGUACACAUUAACAUAAUGUAUAUCCAAUAUACUUCUAUCGACCUUGCCAGCCUUCUCAUCUACCAAGUAUCUAGGGUAAUGCUACUCCAGUGGUUGUUCCCUUAUUACAGAAGCACUUAGUCUCGGGUUUGGGUUCAACCUUGGGUUUCUUCACUAGAGCAGCAGCUAAUUUGCCGUUUCAUGAAGUAUCCCUUCUUGCCCUUGCCCUUCUUGAAACUAGUGGUUUCACCAACCAUCAACAAUUGAUGCUCCUUCUUGAUUUCUACUUUCGCGGUGUCAAACAUCACGAAUAUCUCAAUGAUCAUCAUAUCUAUCCCUGAUUUGUUAUAGUUCAUCACAAAGCUCUAGCAGCUUGGUGGUAAUGAGUUUGGAGAAACAUCACUAUCUCAUCUGGAAGAUCAACUCCCACUCGAUUCAAGUGGUUGUUGCACUCAGACAAUCUGAGCACAAGCUCAACGAUUGAGCUUUUCUCCCUUAGUUUGCAGGCUAAGAAAAUCGUCGGAGGUCUCAUACCUCUUGACGUGGGCACGAGCCUGAAAUCCCAAUUUCAGCCCUUGAAACAUCUCAUAUGUUCCGUGAUGUUUCCAAAAACGUCUUUGGUGCCUCUACUUAAACCAUUUAAUUGAACUAUCACGUAGCUAUCAAAACGUGUAUGUCCGAUGUUCGCAACAUCGACAAACGAUGUUUGGGGUUCAGCACACUGAGCGGUGCAGUAAGGACAUAAGCUUUCUACUGAUCGCAUAAUUGCUACUAUCAACUUUCAACUAUAUUUUCUCUAGGAACAUAUCUAAACAGUAGAACUAAAGCGCGAGCUUACGACAUAAUUUGCAAAGAUCUUUUGACUAUGUUCAAGAUAAUUAAGUUCAUCUUAUGAACUCCCACUCAGAUAGACAUCCCUCUGGUCAUCUAAGUGAUCACAUGAUCCGAGUCAAACUAGGCCGUGUCCGAUCAUCACGUGAGACGGACUAGUCAUCAUCGGUGAACAUCUUCAUGUUGAUCGUAUCUACUAUACGACUCAUGCUCGACCUUUCGGUCUCCGUGUUCCGAGGCCAUGUCUGUACAUGCUAGGCUCGUCAAGUUAACCCUAAGUGUAUUGCAUGUGUAAAUCUGUCUUACACCCGUUGUAUGUGAACGUAAGGAUCUAUCACACCCGAUCAUCACGUGGUGCUUCGAAACGACGAACUGUAGCAACGGUGCACAGAUAGGGGAGAACACUUCUUGAAAUUGUUGUAAGGGAUCAUCUUAUUUACUACCAUCGUUCUAAGUAAACAAGAUGCAUAAACAUAAUAAACAUCACAUGCAAUUAUAUAGUAGUGACAUGAUAUGGCCAAUAUCAUAUAGCUCCAUUGAUCUCCAUCUUGGGGCUCCAUGAUCAUCUUCGUCACCGGCAUGACACCAUGAUCUCCAUCAUCAUGAUCUCCAUCAUCGUGUCUUUAUGAAGUUGUCUCGCCAACUAUUACUUCUACUACUGUGGCUACCAGUUAGCAAUAAAGUAAAGUAAUUACAUGGCGUUGUUCAAUGACACGCAGGUCAUACAAUAAAUAAAGACAACUCCUAUGGCUCCUGCCGGUUGUCAAACUCAUCGACAUGCAAGUCGUGAUUCCUAUUACAAGAACAUGAUCAAUCUCAUACAUCACAUAUAUCAUUCAUCACAUCCUUUUGGCCAUAUCACAUCACAUAGCAUACCCUGCAAAAACAAGUUAGACAUCCUCUAAUUGUUGUUUGCAUGUUUUACGUGGCUGCUAUGGGUUUCUAGCAAGAACGUUUCUUACCUACGCAAAAACCACAACGUGAUAUGCCAAUUGCUAUUUACCCUUCAUAAGGACCCUUUUCAUCGAAUCCGAUCCGACUAAAGUAGGAGAGACAGACACCCGCUAGCCACCUUAUGCAACUAGUGCAUGUCAGUUGGUGGAACUAGUCUCACGUAAGAGUACGUGUAAGGUCGGUCCGGGCCGCUUCAUCCCACGAUGCCGCCGAAUCAAGAUAAGACUAGUAACGGCAAGCAUAUAGAACAACAUCAAUGCCCACAACUACUUUGUGUUCUACUCGUGCAAAGAAUCUACGCAAUAGACCUAGCUCAUGAUGCCACUGUUGGGGAACGUAGCAGAAAUUCAAAAGUUUCCUACGUGUCACCAAGAUCUAUCUAUGGAGAAACUAGCAACGAGGGGAAGGAGAGUGCAUCUACAUACCCUUGUAGAUCGCUAAGCGGAAGCGUUCAAGUGAACGGGGUUGAUGGAGUCGUACUCGUCGUGAUUCAAAUCACCGAUGAUCAAGUACUGAAAGGACGGCACCUCCGUGUUCAACACACGUACAGCCCGGUGACGUCUCCCACGCCUUGAUCCAGCAAGGAGAGAGGGAGAGGUUGAGGAAGACUCCAUCCAGCAGCAGCACAACGGCGUGGUGGUGGUGGAGGAGCGUGGCAAUCCUGCAGGGCUUCGCCAAGCACCGCAGAAGAGGAGAAGAAUUUGGGAGAGAGGGAGGGGCUGCACCAAAGGCAAAAGGUGUGUCUCAAGAGGCCCUCUACCCCCACUAUAUAUAGGGAUCCCAAGGGGGUGCGCCAGCCCUAGGAGAUCCAAUCUCCUAGGGGGCGGCGGCCAGGGGAGGAGUCCAUCCCCCCCAAGGCACCUAGGAGGUGCCUUCCCCUUCUGGGACUCUUCCUUUUAGGGUUCCCUAGGCGCAUGGGCCUCUUGGGGCUGGUGCCCUUGGCCCAUGUAGGCCAAGGCGCACCCCCUAAAGCCCAUGUGGCCCCCAGGGGCAGGUGGCCCCACCCGGUGGGCCCCCGGGACCCUUCCGGUGGUCCCGGUACAAUACCGAUGACCCCGAAACUUGUCCCGAUGGCCGAAACAGGACUUCCUAUAUAUAAAUCUUUACCUCCGGACCAUUCCGGAACUCCUCAUGACGUCCGGGAUCUCAUCCGGGACUCCGAACAACAUUCGGUAACCACAUACAAGCUUCCUUUAUAACCCUAGCGUCAUCGAACCUUAAGUGUGUAGACCCUACGGGUUCGGGAGACAUGCAGACAUGACCGAGAUGUUCUCCGGUCAAUAACCAACAGCGGGAUCUGGAUACCCAUGUUGGCUCCCACAUGUUCCACGAUGAUCUCAUUGGAUGAACCACGAUGUCAAGGACUCAAUCGAUCCCAUAUACAAUUCCCUUUGUCUAGCGGUAUUGUACUUGCCCGAGAUUCGAUCGUCGGUAUACCGAUACCUUGUUCAAUCUCGUUACUGGCAAGUCUCUUUACUCGUUCCGUAACACAUCAUCCCGUGAUCAACCCCUUGGUCACAUUGUGCACAUUAUGAUGAUGUCCUACUGAGUGGGCCCAGAGAUACCUCUCCGUUUACACGGAGUGACAAAUCCCAGUCUCGAUUCGUGCCAACCCAACAGACACUUUCGGAGAUACCUGUAAUGCACCUUUAUAGCCACCCAGUUACGUUGUGACGUUUGAUACACCCAAAGCAUUCCUACGGUAUCCGGGAGUUGCACAAUCUCAUGGUCUAAGGAAAAGAUACUUGACAUUAGAAAAGCUUCAGCAUACGAACUACACGAUCUCUAUGCUAGGCUUAGGAUUGGGUCUUGUCCAUCACAUCAUUCUCCUAAUGAUGUGAUCCCGUUAUCAAUGACAUCCAAUGUCCAUGGUCAGGAAACCGUAACCAUCUAUUGAUCAACGAGCUAGUCAACUAGAGGCUUACUAGGGACAUGCUGUUGUCUAUGUAUUCACACGUGUAUUACAAUUUCCGGAUAAUACAGUUAUAGCAUGAAUAAAAGACUAUUAUCAUGAACAAAGAAAUAUAAUAAUAACAUAUUUAUUAUUGCCUCUAGGGCAUAUUUCCAACAUGAAGACAAUCUCAAAAGAAGAUGACAUUUUCUUAAAUUCAAAAGUAGCCUGGUUUCUACGAUUCCAAAUAGGCCAGCACACAGCCGCUAGGCCCACUGUGAAAUAUCGCUCCCCCUGAGGGAGGAAAGCAUAGCACCAAGAGUAAAAUUGACACAAAUUGUUGGGGCAUAAAUCUGUACCAAGCAUUUCCCCAACUGUGCACCAAGCUAUCCUUGCCACAGGGCAAAGAAAGAACAAAUGUAGAUAUGUUUCUCUACAGUCACAAAAGGAACAACGAGGAUUGCUAGCCCACUUUCUACGUUUCAUAACAUCUCUGGUUAGAAUAGCAUCUUGAAAAAGUUGCCAAAGAAAGAUCUGUAUUUUGACAAACAAUUUAGCCUUCCAAAUCCAUCUGUAGUCACAGCCAACCAGGUCUUUCUCUAAGUAAGAGUACACAGAUUUAGUUGUGUAUCUGCCUUUGGAGUUAAAAACCCAUACUAUCUCAUCUUGGCCAGUCGAGGGUUCAAGACUAUCAACGGUGUUCUUGACCUCCUCAUACUAACAGGUUAGAUCAACAUUCAAUCCGCGCGUAAAAAUCUCUCCACUGACACGGUCCCUAAAUUGGGCAAUUGUGUCACCCUAAUAGUUAGCAAUACUAAACAGAUUUGGGUAUGCCACACAUAAAGGGGGAUGACUGCCAAUAGGGUCAUACCACACUCUGGCAAUGUUGCCAUCAUUGACAAUCACUUUCCUCCCAGCCAUAUAAAGUUCUUUGAGCAAAGCUUUCCAAACAGGGGAAUCAUUGAACUUGGUUUUAACAUUAGCUACAGAGUUAUUUCUCAGAUAUUUUGCUCUCACUACUUCUUUCCAGAGCCCUUCCCCUGUAUCUAAUCCACCACCAUUUUGCUAAAAGAGAUAUGUUCUAUUUGUGAAGAUCUUUAAUGCCUAGACCUCCUUUUUUCUUAGAACAGCACACCCGUGUCCACUUAACCAGAUAGUACCGCCUUUGCCCAUCCCUCCACACCAAAAGAAUUUACGACGAUACUUGUCUAGUCUCUCAAUAAAGGUUUUAGAGAGCAGGAACAUCGACAUAUAGUAGUAUGAGAUGCUCGAUAAGGACGAAUUUAGCAAGGUCAACCUCCUACCAGACGAGGCCGAAUUGUCGAUCUAGGAGUCGCAACAUUUGAGAUAUCGAAUAGCAACAUAUUCCCAAUCAGAAUUCCCUAAAGAAGAAUAACUAACCGACACUCCCAGGUAUUUCAUAGGGAAGUGCCCUAUUUGACACCCAAACAAAUCAACAUAUUUUUGAAGGACAGAAUCAUCCCCACCCACACACAACACCUCACUUUUAAUAAAACUGAUUUUUAGGCCAGACAUUAGCUCAAACAGAUAUAACAAAAGCUUAAGAUUGACCGCUUUGUCAAUACCAUCUUCAAUGCAGAUAAUCGUGUCGUCUGCGUAUUGCAAAACAGCAACCCCAUUAGGAAUAAGGUCAGCUGCCAACCCACUAAACAGACCAUUUUUCUGGGCAUUGAGAAUCAUUUUAGUAAGGCACUCAACUGCUAGGAUAAAGAGAAAGGGAGAUAUAGAAUCUCCUUGUCGGACCCCUUUGCAGCUUUGGAAAUAAGGUCCCACAGAAUUAUUAAUCUUGACACUAACUGUGCCAUUUCGAAGGAUCCGACUAAUCCACUCACACCACUUAUCAUUGAAUCCUCUCAUUCUAUGGCACUCUAAUAGAAAGUCCCAGUUGACCUUAUCAUAUGCUUUCUCGAAGUCAAGCUUCCGGAAAAUCCCGACCUUUUCCUGACUUGAGUAUGGUGCAAUACCUCAUGCAACGUCAAUAUCCCAUCCAUAAUAUUGCGUCUUUCAAUAAAGGCAAUCUGAUGUCGACUGGUAAGUUUAUCAGCAAACUUCGCCACUCUAUUAUCCAGAACCUUGGUUAUGAGCUUAUAAGGACAACGCAACAAACAGAUGGGACAAAAUUCUUGAAUUUUUCUUGCUCCAUUGAUCUUAGGAAUCAGGGUAAUAGUCCCAUAAUUCAAUCUCUCUACAUCUAGGGAGCCUUCGUGAAAAGCCGUGAAUAAAUUCAUGAUAUCUUGUUUAACAAUAUCCCAACAAAAUCGAUAGAAUUCUGUCGGGAUAUUGUCGGGACCAGGGGCUCUGUUACUCUUCAUAUAAAAUAAAGCUUUCUUGACCUCCUCCUCACUAAAAGGCCUGGUCAGAAAUUCAUUAUCCUCAGCUGUUAAUUUUUUGUUGUCCCCCCAAGUAUCAGGGUCUAAAUGAAAUAGAUUCCCUGGGGCUGGUCCAAAGAGUUCCUUGUAGAACCCUGUAGCAUGCUUAAGUAGAUUCUCAGUCCCCUCAAUGGUAGUAUCACCAUGCGAGAAGGAGUGAAUGGUAUUCUUUCUUUUCUUUCCAUUGGCAAUCCUAUGAAAAAAGCAGUAUUCUGGUGUCCUUUUAGCAGCCAUGUCUGAUGGGACAGUUGAAGCUAGAAUAACUCCUCAUUAAUCAUAAGUUGUUGUAGAUCACCGCCAAGGGUAGCAUGUUUGUCUAACAUGUCAGAGUCGACGGGUCCUUGCUCUUCCAUAGAUUCUAUGGUAGCUAGUUCCUCUUUGAUCAUUUUCUUCCUUUUCUUUUCGUGACCAAAAUUUUCAGAUCCCCAUCCUUUAAAAAAAUUCUUGAAACAUUUUAAUUUGAUAUUGAGUACAUCAAUUGGAUCAGAAGAUUUAACAGGUCUCUGCCAGAUUUUUUAACCAAAGGCAGAAAUUCCUCAUUGGUCAUCCAACUCAUCUCAAAUAUAAACUCUCUAGGUUUAGGUGCGUGGGGGCAAGCACUAUUAGUAAACAGAAGGAGGGGAUUGUUGUCAGAGAUGUCUCUAACCAGCUUUCUAGCAGUGACCAAAGGAAAUAUAUCUUCCCAUUCACUAUUCAUAAGGAUUCUAUCCAUUUUUUGUAGAGAAGGAUGGGCCUGAUUAUUCGACCAAGUAAACAAGCCCCCUUCAACAUAAAUCUCACGCAAGCACAUAGUGUUGAUGAUGGCAUUAAACCUAUCAACAUACUGUGAAACCACCAUAUUUUUGUUUUUUUCUCCACAAUGCCUUAAGAUAUUAAAGUCUCCCCCAACUAUAUAGCCAUUGAUAAAUGGCUACAAAAACUGGCGAGUUUAGAGAGGAAUUCCUCUUUGUACUCAUCAUGAGCAGCAAAUAAACAUUUAGCAAAGCCCAAACACAUUGUUUUGCCACAUCAAAUACAAUAACUUGUAGUAUAUAUUUACCCAUAGACCAAGAAACAAUCUCCAAAUUUUUUUAGAACCAUGGCUUACACUACACCAUGGUGGGGGUACAAUCAGAUGUCACAAAUUGUGCUACGUUUUGGGGUACAACACCUAUCAGGUAGAAAUCGCCUUGUCUGUGACAUGUUGCUGCCAAUUCAUGGGCAACGCUGUUUAAAGCCCGGCCGACCACGCUGAUCUUGCACACUGCGUAUCUACCCAUCAACAUCUUGAUAUCGGUUACCAGGGCAUGGUUGGCUGAUUUGCAGGUUCCCGGUGUUGCUAGGUCUCGUCCUAGCCUGGCAUAGUCGACCUCAAGCACUAAGCCUCCACUGAUCAGGUUUGAGAGUUCCAUCAGGCUCAUAAGAACUGCCGCUGCUUCCGCUUCCUCUACUGUGUUGCAGCGAUGCAAACGUCAGCCCACCUACGCCAUGAUUUCUCCUCGACAGUUCCUGGCCACUACCCCGCCCCAUGCCUCACCUGUUUCUUGGAAGUAACUUGUGUCACAAUUCAGUUUUACCAUACCUGGGUCUGGGGUGGUCCAAUGAUCUGCCUUUGUAAUUGGUAUUUUGCAUGGACUGUCAGGAAAUAGGCGGGCAUGCUUCUUCCUCGAGCUCGAUUCCGGCUUGCAUUGGCCACUUGUCAGUUCAUCAUUGAGUCUGAUUAGGUACUGGGCUGCUCCCGACACCGUGUCCUUUCUAUCACCAUGGAUUAUAUUAUUUCUUAAGCUCCAACUCUGCCAUAGAAUCAGUAGUAUCUUAUUUCUGACCGUUUCUGAAUUAGCCAAUAGCAGGUUCUGCAGCCAAUCUGGUCCCGAGCGGGAGAACUGAGAUUCCUUUGGAAUGUUCCAAUGGUCCCUCAUUGCAUGCCUCAGUGCCCUGCUCCUGGUGCAUGACACAGUAGCGUGGAACUCAUCUUCUUUUUCAACUCCACAGAUGUCGCAGACAUCCUCAUUCACUAGUGUUCUACGGAGAGAGUUGUGCUUUGUUGCCAGGGAUUCAGUGGCUACUCUCCAACCAAAAAUCUUCACUCUCUCGGGAACACUUGCUUUCCAUAUCGCAUCCCAAACGCUACGCUCUCCUGGAUUACUUGUGGAGCUUGUGGCUUGGCUUCUUCUUCUUCUUCUUCUUCUCAGGUUGUCCGCAAGUUUGUACGCGCUUCUGACUGUAAAGACACCUGUGUUCUCAUAGUGCCACGCCACAUGAUCCUCUAUUCCACUUGCUAGGAUUCUUAUCUUACAUAUUUCAUCCACGUCAAAAGGUUGGAAAAUUUGUCUCACCAGCUCUGUAUUCCAUUCUCGUGUCUCUGGGAUGAUAAGUUGGUUCACCCAUCGGAGACGCGAUCUUCUAAUGAAGGUAGCUGUCUUAAGCCCCUCAUUCCUCGGGAUCCACUGGUCUCUUAUGAUUUGGAUUUUCCUCCUGUCCCCCACACGCCAAAUGAGGCCUUCCUUGAGUAGCUCAAGACCAAAUUCAAUUCCUCUCCAAGCCGGGGAAGCAUCGGAGCUGAAUACUGUGUCAAGUAAAUUGCCAUGGGGAAAGUACUUUGGUUUAAGUAUAUGUGCACAAAGACUGUUAGGGUUUUGCAAAAUCCUCCACCCUUGCCUAGCGAGGAGUGCUUGGUUAAACAGGUGCAUGUAUCGAAAACCCAUCCCUCCAUUUCUCUUUGCUUUUGUCAUGUUAUCCCAAGACAUCCAAUAAACCUUUCUUUUCUCUUCCUUAUCCCCCGACCAGAAGUCCCUUAUAACUUUCUCAUACUUCUCACAGAAGCUCUGGGUAAACUUGAAAAUUCCCAUGGGGUAGGUUGGCAGGGCUUGGGCAACUGAUUUGACGUUCACUUCCUUUGCUGCUUGGGACAUGAACCUCUCAUUCCAGUCAUUACACCUCUUCUCGAAUUUAUCCAUGAUUGGAACAAAAUUUUCAUCCUUCAUUCUCCCUUCUGGGGUUGGGAGCCCAAGGUAUUUGCUCUCGAAGGAGGCAGAAACCACUCCCAGGGUGUUCAUUAUGCUCUCUCGCUCUUGACUCGGACACGCCUCACUGAAUAAGAGCGAACAUUUAUCCUGACUGAGAAGCUGGCCGGUUGCCUUUUGGAAAGUGUUGAGGACAUUCUUCACUUUACUUGCUUGUUCCGUCGAGGCCUUAAAAAACAAGAGACUGUCAUCCGCAAAGAGCAGGUUCGAUAUCCCCGGGCUCCCCCACGCAAUUUUUAUUGGGUUUAUGCUCCCUGUAGCCACUUCUCUGUUCAGCAAAGUAGCAAGUUCAUCAGCCACAAGAAGGAAUAAAUAGGGGCUUAACGGGUCUCCUUGUCUGAGGCCUCUCGAGGGGAAGAAUGGUUCCAACAAUUCACCAUUGCACUUGACUGUAUACCUCACUGAUCUUACACAAAUCAUCACCCAGUUAAUCCACCUUGGAUCAAAACCUAUCUUCUGGAGUGCUUUUUCCAAGAAGUUCCAGUCAACCAGAUCGUAGGCCUUUGCCAAGUCCAACUUAUAGGCACAGUAGGUGUCCCUCUGGUUUUUGCAGUGCUGGAUUUUGUGAAAGCAUUACCAGCUUUACCAGUGGAGGGAAUCCAACUCCACUCCAGGGUAUUAUAGGGAUCAAUCAUCCUAAGGAAACUAGAAGAUAAUUUUUUUUUCUUCAUAGUCUCCUGUAAACACAAAAAAUCUAGGGAAUGAUCUUUUAUAAGAUCAGAGAGGCAGGUUGUCAUCCCUUUUUACCCGCCCCUCUGCAAUUCCAGAAAAUAUCAUUCAUUUAGGGCGUCCCCCCUCCUUCCCCUGGUCACUCUACUAGGAGACUUAGCAGCAUUACCAGAGUUGGCAGUGGACUCCACUGCCUUUUGGCUUCUAGUUCUAGGUUUGGAUAGAGGUGUCUGAUUUUUUUAUUGUUUCGUUUUUUCCUAGACCCAAUCACAGUGAAAUCAGAGAUAUCAUAGUCAUGCUCAUCUCCCCACCUUAAGUUAAUGGGUAUAUCUUCUCCUUUCCCAUUAGUAAUGAACAUAACCUCGUCGGGAGGUAUAGAUUUUUCAACUACAUUGUUCCUAACAUUCUCAAGUUCUCUAAGUAUAUCAAUCUUAGAAAACUCCAUAUCUGGGAUCAUUACCCCCAUUUUUUAGCUCUAAGCAUCAUAUCAGGAUUAGAUAAAAAAACAAAGGAGUUAGCAGUAGAAUUGAUACCUUCCAGUUCUCUUUUCUUAGUAGCCACUCUGGCCGUGUCCUCCACUUCCUCCAGAUUGGUCAGCGUGUUCCUGGCACUGAACCUGAGCACAUUUACAGGUAAGAGGGGAGGUGUGGGGAUCACCUCACCACAAAAAUCGCUAGCAGAUUCACGUGAUUGCACACUAUACUCAACUGUAAUAUCUUCAUCAACAGCAAAAGGGCCUUCCAUCUCUAUCACCUUAAUAGUUCCUUUCACACUUUCAGCAUAUGAUUUGUUCAUAGUAUUUGUCGGAUGUUGGGUUUCGGCAGACCCUUGAGGUUUGAACUCUGGGGUGCGCACGAAGAUCUCUCCCCUAUCUAUCUAUGCCCGAUCAUCUCAUGAGAUCUAAGCUAAAAACGAUGAACAACACAAGGGACACGAGAUUUAUACUGGUUCGGGCCACCGUUGUGGUGUAAUACCCUACUCCAAUGUGUGGUGUGGUGGAUUGCCUCAGGGGCUCAUGAUGAAUAGUACAGGGGAAGAACGGCCUCGCGAGAGGUGUUCUUGAGCUGGUGCGAUGAACUGCUUGGGUGAGUUUGAGUUUGAUCGCCUCUCCCUCUCUAGUCUUCCCCAAAUCUCUCUCUCUUACUCUAUGGUGGCUAGCUCUAUUUAUAGAGGCCCUGGGCCUCUUCCCAAAUAUUGAGCGAGAAGGGCGCCAACAACGGCCAUUUCGAAGGGGGACAUCUAGUACAAGUUAACCUGACUAAAGUUGGUCUUCGGCUGCCAAAAGCACUAGUGAUGACGCCGUCUUGGGCUCCACGGUGACCUCCAUCCUGCCGCUCCGCUGGUCUUGGUCUCAUUGCACUGAAAUGGCAACCUUUGCCUGAUGCCUCGGUACUCCACAUCUGUGCUUGCCCCCUUCGCACCAAAGAGGAAACAAGGACACUGCACAGGCCGGCGCCCGCCUGGUCUCGAUCAUCAUGGCUUGCAUCAUGAGCACCUCGCGAGGUAUCCUGCCUUGAUCUCUCCGCCUCCUCGCGAGCCUGCCUGGCGAGGCCAUCCCUGAGGAAGCCUUGCAUCGUCCGCCCCGUGAGGCUUGGCCCCUCGUGAGGGUCUUGAGUCUUGUACUGAUGAAGACGGGCCGUACUGGGCCACCACUUGAGCCACGCCGCAGGCCGCAGGCAGGCAAGUCUGGGGACCCCCGUUCCCAGAACACCGACAGUAUUCUUCUUAGUACUAUGAAGAACAGUCUGGAUACACACAUCUUGAGACAUAGAGCUUUUCUUUUCACUGAACUUUUCACCAGCAGCAAGAGCCUCCUGUUCCAUGUUGUGGAUCAAUAGGGUAUCAUGAUUCGAGCUAUCAGAAGUGAUUGAAACUAGUGAUUCCAUAGGAUCAGUAGCAUAUUGCUUUCCCAACGGACUCAUGUCCCUCACAUCAGCUCUCCCUCUAGAGGAACUCCCAAUAGGGUUUUCGAGUAUGUUUGUUCUUUUUUGUUUCUUCAUCGAAGGGCCUCCCUGAUCAGCAUGUGCCUUAUUACGAAGACUCACUCUGACUGGAUCUCUCACCAACACUUGCUCCACAUUGAAGGUAAAAUCAUAUAAUAGAUCCCCAGGACUGACUCAGCCACUGGUACGAUCUCAUCAACAUCACGACAUCCUAACUUGACUCUUACAAAAUCAGGGCGAUGUAAAGUGGCCUUAUCUAUUGAUACGUCUCCAACGUAUCUAUAAUUUAUGAAGUAUUCAUGCCAUGUUUACAAUAAUUUUAUAUGAUUUUGGUAUGAUUUACAUGGAACUAACCUGGACUAACGCUGUUUUCUGCAGAACUACCAGGGUAUUGUUUUUUGUGCAGAAAUGAAAUUUCUCCAAAUGAGCUGAACCUUUUUUAUGAUUUUUUUGGAACAAAAGAGACCCCCGAAGCUUCAUGGGAGGGCCAAAAGAGCCAUGAGGAGGGCACAACCCACCGGGGCCCGCCUGGGCCCUUGCCCGUGCCCCGAUGUAUCGUGCUCACCUCGAGGCCCAUCUGGACGUGAGACCGAUGCCAACAAUUCCUAUAAAUAGAGAAACCAUCAGAAAUAACCCUAUAUCGAAAGUUCCGCCGCCGCAAGCCUCUGUAGCCACCGAAAACCAAUCGGGACCCCAUUCUGGCACCCUGCUGGAGGGGGGAAUCAUCUCCGGUGGCCAUCUUCAUCAUCCCGGCGGCCACCACGAUGAGGAUGGAGUAGUUCACCUCGGGGCUGAGGGUUUGUACCAGUAGCUAUGUGUUUAAUCUCUCUCUCUCUCUCGCGCGAUUUUGAGAUGUCACAAUCUUGAUGUAUCAUGGGCUUUGUUAACAUAGAUGGAUCAUAGAUGUUUCUCCCCUCUCUACACUUGUUGUGAUGAAUUGAGUCUUUACCCUUUGAAGUUUUGUCUUGUCGGAUUGAAUGUUCAGAUCUAAGAACACAUGAUAUAUGUCUUGCAUAUGAAUACCCAUGGUGACAAUGGGGUAUUAUUUUGAUUCACUUGGUAUAUGUUAUGGCACUCAACUUGCGGAUUCCCGAGGUGACUUUGGGGUAAUCUAUGCAUAGGGGUUGAUGCACGUUUUUAUUAUCUUUUCUUCGAUAGAAACUUUGGGGUCUCCUUGUAGUUCUUUGUGUUAAUUGAGUAUUAUGAAUCUGAAAUUCUUUGAUACAUAUCGUAUAAUUAACUCACGGAUACUCGCGGUGACACUGGGGUAUCUAGGUGACAUUAGAGUUGGUUGAUAUGUAUCAUAUGGUGUUAUUUUAGUAUGAACUCUUGAUUAGAUCGAUUGAAAAGAAUAGCUUGCUGUUAUUUUAGUACGAACUCUAGGACAGAUUGAUCGGAAAGAAUAGCUUUGAGGUGGUUUCGUACCCUACAAACAAUUUCUAUCUUUUGUGCUCUGCUAAUAGGAACUCGGGAGUGAUUCUUUAUUGCACUUUGAGGGAUAAUCAUAUGAUCCAACUAUGUUAGCAUUGUUGAGAGAUCACACUAGUGAAAGUAUGCACCCUAGGCCUCAUUUUCCAUCAUUGCAAUACCGUUUGUGCUCUAUUUUACUAUUUACUACCUUGCUGCUUUUUAUUGUUUGCACUACAAAAACUCAUAUCUACUAUCCAUACUACACUUUUAUCACCAUCUCUUCACCGAACUAGUGCACCUAUACAAUUUUCCAUUGUAUUGGGUGUGUUGGGGACACAAGAGAUUUCUUGUAUUUGAUUGCAGGUUUGCUCGAGAGAUACUAUCUUCAUCCUAUGCCUCCCACGGAUUGAUAAAUCUUAGGUAAUCCACUUGAGGGAAAAUUGCUACUGUCCUACAAAACUCUACGCUUGGAGGCCCAACACGUGUCUACAAGAAUAAAGUUGCAUAGUAGACAUCAUAUAUCUACAGUGGUACUCCUGCCAGAGAAGCUACAAAAGCAACAUUCCUCUCACAUCUCUUGUCCAUUGGGAUCCUACCCACCUCAACCCAAGCUUUUUCCAGUAUCCCUUUAGCACCAUCAUCAUGAUUCCAUCUGGUGACCCUUACUACUGUACCACAUGGUUUCAUAGUCAUACGGUCGCUGUAGCAAGCUUUUUCUACCUCUCUGGUAUUAGGAAAUCUCACCAGAAACACCCCAGGCUCCACCAACUUAGCAGAACACCUCCAGGUUUUACCAAGAUACGGAAAGACAACAUCAUUCAUCUGUUUGAUGGUAGGAUUCCCUUUCAGCACAGUAAUAAUAACAUUGCAAGAUUUCUCCCUAGCUUGUUCAGCAGAACAGAAAUCAUGCACAUAAAAAAGCCUUGCCCCCUAGCUUGAAAGGCACACAUAGGAGCAAUGCACUCCCAUGGGAGGAACUCCACACAGACAGAAGCUAGAUAGCCCAACUUGUUACACCUCUCACAAAAAGCUAGCGGACAUCAAAUCGGAACAUGACCAGCAGAUUUGCAGAUAGGGCAUAUGUCUCCAGAAUUGUUAGGGGCACCUGAUUUUUGGCCCUGGCCCUUGAGGUCGAAGGAGCAGUAGCUGUUGGAGAUGGCUCUGUAGCUUGGUGUGAACUCCCUCCUCCCGAGGCCACGGAUCCCUUCUGCUUCUCCACCCACACGCCCCCGAAGCUAGAGCUCUGCCGCUCCGCCGCCAUCGCUACUGCCUCCCAGCGCGAGGCCUCGGAUGCGUCACCGGACUUGUCGAUGUUGCCGCCGCUCUGCCAUGAGAAGCGCCCGCCGCCGCGGUCAAAUCUACCUGCUCCACGAUCGAAACGCCCGCCACCACGGUCGAACCGACCCGCACCGCGGCCCGCGCGGCCAGCACUGAAGCCCUCCCGAUGGUCGCCGUGAAACCCCUGUCCUGACUUGUCGGACAUGGAAUCUGGCGGACGCGGGGGAGUGGACACAACCUCGGCAAACGACCUACUGUCACCACCGAUUUUACCUCGCCACCAGGAGAAGGAAGAGGGAGGAUUAGAUCUAGGGUUCCGCGGCGCCGCCCACAGAUGCAAAAGGGCAGGGUCUAGGUCAAGAGGGGAGUGAGAUUUGCCUUUAAUACUCUUCCUCGGGCGGCCACAGUGCGACAAAGGCUCAGGAUCACCGUCCAUGUGGUCGACAUCCACCAUUGGUGGCACCUCCCCCGCCUUGGGCCCCUUGCAUGGCAGGUCGAGUGUGUUUCGGUGUUGUCCCCCCGUGUCGUGCACCGCAGGACCAGGCCCGUGCCUCUGCAUGUUGCACCACACUGACUCGCCGCUGUCAUGCCGCAUAUCCUUGGUAAAGAUCGCCGGAAUCCUGUCGUUGAGCCUUGCAAAAAAACACAAAAACGCGAUGAUGUGACCAAUAUCAACGAACUCAUGCUCGCGGAGUGCCUGCGCGUCGAUUACCCCGCCCUCGAUGUUGAAGAGGACGAGACGAAGAGCAUCUCCACGGAGGAGGAGCUCGCCGUCGUGGAGGUGGAUGGUAUGGGCGGUCCCCAGAUCUGCCGCGUAACGCACUCGCCAUCGGAUGUCAGUCGCCAUCCUGUGGUGGCAUGGACGGAGACCACGAUCAAUACACCGAGAUCAGAUGGGAGGUUGAACAAGAAUAGUUUUGGGUCCGUCAUUGAUCUAGAGUGGAUAGAGAAAGAGGAUGAAUAUUGCACUGCACACUGUAUUACUCAUCGAUAGGAGUUACAUAUAGCCGGGGCCUUCCACAAUAUCAGGCACGCAAGCCAUGAGCUAGUCGUGGAGGUUAAGAUCCUAGAAAGUAGGAAUUAGGUACAAGNNNNNNNNNNNNNNNNNNNNNNNNNNNNNNNNNNNNNNNNNNNNNNNNNNNNNNNNNNNNNNNNNNNNNNNNNNNNNNNNNNNNNNNNNNNNNNNNNNNNNNNNNNNNNNNNNNNNNNNNNNNNNNNNNNNNNNNNNNNNNNNNNNNNNNNNNNNNNNNNNNNNNNNNNNNNNNNNNNNNNNNNNNNNNNNNNNNNNNNNNNNNNNNNNNNNNNNNNNUGAAACACAACUGAUGGAAGGCCUUUGGUGAAGAUGUCGGCGAACUGCGACCCGGAUGGCACAUGAAGUACGCGAGCUUCGCCCAGGGCAACCCGAUCGCGAACAAAGUGAAGGUCGAUUUUGACAUGUUUUGUCCGCUGGUGCUGAACCGGGUUGCUGGACAGGUAGGUGGUGCUGAUGUUGUCGCAGUACACAACAGUGGCACGCGACGGGGGAAGGUGAAGCUCAUGCAGGAGUUGGCAAAGCCAGGUUGUUUCAGCGACGCAGUUGGCGACAACCCGGUAUUCCGCUUCGGCGCUGGAGCGGGAAACGGUAUGUUAACGUUUGGAGGACUAGGAAACCAGAUUGGGCCCGAGAAACACACAAAACCCAGAUGUGUACAUCCUGGUGUCGGGGUAGCCGGCCCUAUGAGCAUCGGAAUACGCCACAAGAUCGCGAGUGGAGGAGCGAUAGAACCGGAGGCCACAGUGUGAUGUGCCUUGGAGGUAUCGGAGAAUGCGCUUCACGAGAUGCAUGUGGGAUGAGCGAGGAGCAUGCAUGAAGAGGCAUGCUUGCUGAACCGCAUAGGAUAUGUCGGGCCUGGUGAGGGUUAGAUACUAGAGAGCACCGGUGAGGCUGCGGUAGUGGGUAGGAUUGGCAAGGAGAUCACCAUCAUGAGCGGAUGCUUUGGACUUGGUGUUGAUGGGGGUGGAAAUAGGGUUGCAAUUUAGCAUGUUGGCGCGGUCCAAGAUUUCUAGAACGUAUUGUUGCUGGGAAAGAAAGAGCCCAGAGGAGGUUCAAGUGGCAUUAACACCAAGGAAGUGGUGGAUAUCCCCAAGGUCGGACAUGGCAAAUUCUUCUUUGAGGGAGGAGACGACAGAGUGUAACGUAGUGGAGGAGUUGGCAGUGAGUAUGAUGCCAUCUACGUAGAGAAGGAGGUAAGCAACAUAAUUGCCAUGGUGAAAAAUGAACAUGGAAGUGUCAGACUUGGAAGAAACAAAACCCAAGGACAGGAGAUAAGACUUGAACCGCAAGAACCAUGUGCGAGGAGCCUGCUUCAAGCCGUAUAGAGACUUCUUGAGGAGGCAAACAUGGUUGGGGAGGGAAGAAUCAACAAAACCCGCCGGUUGAGCACAAUAGACAGUCUCACCAAGAUCGCCGUGUAAGAAGGCAUUUUGACAUCCAACUGGUGGAUCGACCAGGACUGAGCGGUGGCAAUGCUGAGAAUGACGCGAACGGUGGCUGGCUUGACCACACGACUGAAGGUCUCCAUAUAAUCGACACCCUCUUGCUGCGUGAAACCCCGGAGCACCCAACGAGCCUUGUACCGAGCAAGGGAGCCAUUAGCGUCAAGCUUGUGCCGGAAGAUCCAUUUGCUGGUGACCACGUUGACACCUGCAAGACGAGGAACCAAACACCAAGUUUUGUUCUUUAUCAAAGCAUUAAAUUCAUCGAGCAUGGCAUCGUGCCAAUUUUUGUCUUUGAGGGUGGACUUGUAAGUGGUCGGGAGAGGAGAAAUAGGAGGGGAAGUGGUGAGGGUAAAAAGGCGUCUGGGCUGAGCGAAGCCGCGCUUGGCACGAGUUGUCAUUUUAUGUGAAUUGACUAGUGGCGGAACGGGGAGUACGGGGCGACGUGGAGGAGAGGGAGUGGCGAGCGCGCGGUGCAAGGUCCGGGUCAGGCCCAGGGGGAGCGGGGGGCAAUCCAAGGCGGGCGGGCGAUCUGAGAGAUCGGGUGGCAGGGGAAUCUAGUGCGGGCGAGCCGGGAGAGGCCCCUGGGUGGGAGUGGGACCGGGGGGAGGCGGUCGGGGUAGUGGGCUGGCAGGGAGAGGCGUGGGAGGCAGGGGUUGGUGGAGAGGUGCACGAGGUUGAUGCGGGAGGCGGGUCUGCGGCCGAGGUAGGCUGGGCGGGGAUCUCGGAGGGGAUUGCAUGCAGGCGUGGGAGAGGGGCGGGAUCUUCUGUGGCCGAUGUGGCUGGUGAAUGAGGUGAUGUGUAAGGAAAAAUCGAUUCAUCGAAAACGACAUGACGAGAAACAAUUACUUUGCACUUGAGGAGAUCGAAACAACGAUAACCUUUGUGUUCUAAGGGGUAACCGAUGAAGACACACCGUGUGGAACGUGGGGCGAGCUUGUGCGGGCUGGUGGCAUAGAGGUUUGGAAAACACAAGCAGCCAAAGACACGUAGAUGAUCGUAGGUAGGGGGAACGCCGGUAAGGAGAAAGAAGGGGGUGUGAGGUGCAGUUUUGACGGACGACCGAUGAUUGAGGAGAUAGGUGGCGGUGUGUAAAGCCUCGACCCAAAACGGUGGGGAAGAUUAGCUUGGAGAAGAAGGGUGCGGACAAUGUCGUUCGUGGGGCGAAGCAUACGUUCCGCCUCGCCGUUCUGGGGGGAAGUAUGAGGACAGGAGAGACGGUAGACGAUGCCGUGGGUCGAGAAGAAAGUACGAAGAGCAGUGUUGAUGAACUCGCCGCUGUUGUCAGAUUGCAUGCAUUGAAUAAUCGUGUGAAAUUGGGUAGAGAUGUAGGAGAAGAAGCGUUGGAGGGUGGGGGACGCGUCAGAUUUGUGACGGAGAGGAAAAGACCACGAGUAGUGAGUAAAGUCGUCUAGUAUAAUGAGAUAGUAAGCAUAGCCCGAAAAGCUUACAACUGGUGACGUCCAAAGUUCAUAAUGAAUGAGCUGAAAUGGUGCAGUAGUACACUUAUUGGAAGGGGAAAAUGCUAAACGAGGUUGGCGCCCUAGUUGGCACGAGGUACAAGGGGGGGUGAACACUUUUAUUACAAUCUGGUAAGAAACGGGAAAGGGAAGCUAGGGUUGCUGUGUCGGGGUGCCCAAGGCGCCGGUGCCACAAGUCACCGGUUGUGGUAAGGAAAGCGGAGCCGCCAGUGGUGUUGGUGCCAUAGAAGGGGUAGAGCGGGCUGGAGCUACUGGACGUCAUGAGCGGAGUCUUGGUGGGAAGAGCCUUCACAGAAAAGCCAGAGGGGUUAAACACGACCUCAACAUUAUUAUCACGAGACAAUUUGCGAACGGAAAUAAGAUCUUUGACAAUGUUAGAGCAGACGACAGCAUCGUUAAGAGAAAGAUUGGUGGGGCGAGUGUGGUGGAGUCCGUGCCAAUGAUAGGGAGACGGUGACCAUUGCCAACAACGAUGCUCGAGGAAAAAUGCUGAGGUAAAGAGCGAAACAAGGAGAGGUUACCAGGAUUGCCGGUGACAUGUGUGGCCGCGCCGGAGUCGAGGAUCCAGUUAGCCCCGUGCGCUGGGACACCUUGCUGGCUGUAGGCGUGGCUGGGGAGAGCAGCAUGAUCCCAAGCAGGAGAGCCGUAGGAGUACGGCUGCGGGGCGGGGGAUGAUGCAGGGCCCGACAACAUCAAAGGAUACGCCUGGGAGUGCACACCAGGCCGCGGGCCCAGCACACCAGCGGCGUUUGGCGGAGUCCAUCCAGGGCGAGGUUGAGGUAGAGCCAUGCCGAACGGGGCGAAAUAGCCCGUCCAGGGUGGCAGGGCGGCGGUGUUGGAGUAGGAGCCCCGACCGGACGAGUCAGAGCGGCCGCGGCCGCGGCCACCGCCGCGCCCCAUGACCACGUCUGCGGUCGCCACCACCAGAGCGGGCCCUAUUGGUGCCAUGGCCGCCGGGUGCGGGGCCGUUGCCGUUGCCACCGGGGCGGGGGCCGCCGUUGCCGCGAUCGCCACGAUCACCGCGGUCGCCGCGGUCACCGCGGUCGUUGGAGACGGUGAGGACGGCGGCGCCAGCCUCGGCGGCGCGAAGGUUGAUGUUGUACUUCGCGAGAUCCACGCGAGAGCGAGCAAUGCCGAACGGGGGAAGAGGCACCGUGUCCCCCAAGAUGGUGUGGAUGGUGUCGAAGUGGGCGUCGAGGCCAUGAAGGAACUGCAUGGUGAGAUCUGGAUCGGAGACAGGGUUACCGGUGUCGGCGAGGCCGUCGGCGAGGGACUUGAGACGGCGAGCAUAGUCAGAGACGGAGAGGUCUCCCUGCUUCAAGUUCCGGUACUGGCGCGUGAGGUGGAGGUACUGGGCGCCCUGGUUGGCCAGGAAAUAGUCCCGGAUGCGUUGCCAGGCAGUGUAGGCGUCGACGGCGCCGCCCAUGAUCAGCUCGAGGAUGGAAUCUGCGAGGGUGAAGAGGAUCCAGAGGACCAGCCGUUGAUCCACGGCAAGCCAGGCGGCGUUAGGCUGAGGAGGAGGACGGCGCUCGAUGUGAUCCUGGACACGGUACUGCGUGAGGACACAGGUGAAGAAGGUGCGCCACUUGAUGUAGUUGUUCUCAGCAGGGUCGAGCUUGAACUUGAUAUGGUUGGAGAUGUGGUCGUUGUGAAAAUUGUGAAGGAGAAGAUCAGGGGGAGAUGGCACGGGGAAGAUGGCCGUGGUGGCGAGAGCAGAGGUUGCAGCAGGCAUGGUGGUCGAGGAGAAGGGAGGAGAGGUCCCCGGAGUGGAGGACGGAAAGGAGGAGUCGGGAGCGGCCGGAGUGGCAGGGGGCUCGCCGAAGAUGUCCUCGAAAGCCAUGACGUCGGAUACCAAGAAAGAUGAUGAAUAUUGCACUGCAUACUGUAUUACUCAUCGAUAGGAGUUACAUAUAGCCGGGGCCUUCCACAAUAUCAGGCACGCAGGCCAUGAGCUAGUCGUGGAGGUUAAGAUCCUAGAAAGUAGGAAUCAGGUACAAGAGCUACGACGGUACAAUUACAAUGGUACAAUACAUGACACGUUAACAGAUAGCAUUCAACUGGUUAUUUUGUUGCCCGGACUUGGAACUUGCCCGGCAUUGUGCACGAGCUUCGCUGCUUCAACAAUACUGAACUAGACACCAUAGUCAUAUACAGAUCACAAGCUGGUUCAUCGCCGGCGAGUGUGUCAUGUCUGUGGUCUGGAUGCCCGUCUCUUUAUAGUGCCGGUGGUAGUGUGCUGCAAUAUGACUGUAAACCUGUUGAUCUACUCUGAGGAAAAUCAAGUAAACCUGUUGAUUCUUGUUUGACAAAAAAAAAA